GACGAACGCUGGCGGCGCGCCUAACACAUGCAAGUCGAACGAGCAAAGAGGAGCUUGCUUCUCUGAGCGAGUGGCGAACGGGUGAGUAACGCGUGAGGAACCUGCCUCAAAGAGGGGGACAACAGUUGGAAACGACUGCUAAUACCGCAUAAGCGCACGGUAUCGCAUGAUACAGUGUGAAAAACUCCGGUGGUGUGAGAUGGACCCGCGUCUGAUUAGCUAGUUGGCAGGGCAGCGGCCUACCAAGGCGACGAUCAGUAGCCGACCUGAGAGGGUGACCGGCACAUUGGGACUGAGACACGGCCCAAACUCCUACGGGAGGCAGCAGUGGGGAAUAUUGCACAAUGGGGGAAACCCUGAUGCAGCGACGCCGCGUGAGCGAAGAAG
rnacentral:rRNA from 1 species